UACGUAGGGAGCAAGCGUUGUCCGGAAUCAUUGGGCGUAAAGCGCGCGUAGGCGGCCCUGUAAGUCCGCUGUGAAAGUCAAAGGCUCAACCUUUGAAAGCCGGUGGAUACUGCAGGGCUAGAGUCCGGAAGAGGCGAGUGGAAUUCCUGGUGUAGCGGUGGAAUGCGCAGAUAUCAAGAGGAACACCAAUUGCGAAGGCAGCUCGCUGGGACGUAACUGACGCUGAGACGCGAAAGCGUGGGGAGCAAACAGG
rnacentral:rRNA from 1 species